AAAACACCAAUCUUUCGAUUUUCAACUUAUUAUGGUUAAUAUUUUGUUUUUUUUUUAUAUAGGGUCUCACUGUGUUGCCCAGGUUGGAGUGCAGUGACAUGAUCAUGGCUCACUACAGCCUUGACCUCCCUGGGCUCAAGUGAUCCUCCCACCUCAGCUUCCUGAGUAGCUGGGACCACAUGUGUGCACCACCAUACCCAGGUAAUUUUUGUAUUUUUUUUUUUUUUAUGGAGACAGGGUUUCACCAUGUUGCCCAGGCUGUUUUUGAACUCCUGGACUCAAGACAUCUACCCAUCUCGGCCACCCAAACUGCAGGGAUUACAGGCAUAAAGCACCACGCCCGACCAGAAAUGACCUUCCAUAAAGAUCUGGAUGAAUGAAGGACAGAGAUGAUCUGAGGAGUGAACGCCCUUGGCUAUUUCUGCUACAACUUAUGUAGAUGACCUUGGGAAAGUCAAAUCACCCUUCAAACCUCAGUUUCAUCAUCUCUAAAAUGGAGGCAUUGAACAAGAUGACGUAUAAGGACAUCUUCUAGCCCUAAUGCUCUUGGAUUUUGUCUCUCUUGAGGAAGCCAUGCAGAAGAUAUAGAGGUUACUGGGUACUCUAAAUCCACUUUUGGCCCCCUAUGUCCUCUUGAGGCAUGAGUGUUCUAUUGCUUCAAGACUUUGCAGGCACACUUCAUACACUUGUUGAAUCAAAUAACUUCUCUUAGGUAUUAUGUGACAUAGAGCCAAUGUUUUGAAUAGCAUUGAUGAGAAGGAUGGUUUUGGGGUCAGAUGGAUCUAGAUUGGAGUCAAGGCUGUGUCAUUCAGUUGGCCUGUGAUCUUGGGUGAGUCAUUUAAUCUCUCUGAACAGUAAUUUCUUCAUGUGGGACUAAUAACAAUAUCUACUUUAGGGUUUAAGGAUUAAAUGAAAAUUCAGGCAUAAAGUUCUUAAUAUAGUGCCUGGAACAAGGUACCAAUUAGAAAUACUUUUAAUAUUUUUUUGUUAAAAAGGAGAUUCUGUUUUUAAUUUCAAGUCUCUUAAUCUAAUCAACACAUCCUUUCCUCAUUAGAAGACCCAACAAUUUACUCCAAUAAGUUUUCUGGUUUCUCAGGUAUUGUGCUUUUACAUGGAGAUUUGUAAUGUAAGAAUUGUUGGAGAAAGAUUCACUUCCAUAAAUGGUCCCAAAGGGGUAGUUUGAAUUUAAGAUAGGAAAGAUAUUAUUUGAGAUAAUUAUGUAUGGAAGCUAUUUCUUCCAUUUUACUAAGUCUUUAAACUCAUUUAGCAAGUAUGCAAUGAAAUCUUAUUCUGUUCCAAUAAUCCUGUUGCCUACCCUCAUGAAAUGUAUAUUCCAGUAAGUAUUCAAGAAAAUUCAGAGAUGUAUGAUGCAUGCAUCAGUGAUAAGUUUGCUGUAAUAGAAAAGUGCAGGGAAGGGACACAUGUUCCCAACUUCCAGGAUCAGGAAAAGUCUCCUGGGAAUCUAAAAGUUGCAUACGAGGAAUCAAGGAAGUAGACGAGUAGCGUUCCUGGAGGAAGAAUUAUUGUAUUUUCUGGUUUUACUAUUCAAUUUCCCCCAUUCUGUAAGAGCUAAACCCCCCAAAUUUUACUUGUUCAUCUAACAAAGUGAUUGUCCAUUCAUUUAUGUACUAUACAGUCAUCAAGUGUGCCUCACAUUCCAUGCUCUGUACUUGGUGAACACAGUAAAAUAGCAGUGAACAAAGUAGGUAAAUGUUCUGCCUUCUUGAAGCUGAAUGUAUAAAGCAAGAGACAGACAAUAAUGAAAAUAAUUAGACAUGCUGCCAAAAAUUAGUUAUCAAAAAAUGUAAUGAGAGAAUAUGUAAUUAGAAGGAACAUAGGGCAGUUUUUGAUAGUUGUAGGAGCCAACACCCUUUUUCCCCCAAAGAUUCACUGAAAAAAAUCACUUACAUGGGGCAGAUUGAUUAAACGGAGAAAAGACACACAAAUUUAUUUAAUGUGUAUACAAAAGAGCCUUCAGAAUGAAGACCCAAAGAUACAAGAAAAAUUGUUCAUUUUUAUGCUUAGUUUCAACAAAGUAUAGACAGCUAUUUAGAAAUAUGAUUGUACAAAAAUGUUAUAAUCUAAUGCUUAUAGAUAUUAGCAUUAGUCAAGGCUUUUCUGUCUAGAUUCUUCUUGGCCUGAGCAUGUAUUACUUCUCUCUGUGUGUGAGAUAGGGCCCUGUCUGGAAUAGGAGUCUUAUGACUUAUGUCAAACAAGGUAGGUUAGAUAACUUCUUUAUGGCCAGUUUUUACAUUUUAUGGCUGGAUUUCAGGAAAAGAGGUUCUGGUUUCCAUGACCUGCCUUGGAGAAAAGGGAUCCUAGUUUCUAUGGCUAGCCUUGGGGGAAAAUGAAAUUGAGAUGCAGGCGAACAGGAGAAGGUCAGAGAAACAUUUUUGUUUCUGAUGCUGCUGCUGAGGGCUGCAUUUUGGAGGAUUGUUUUCUGAAACAAUACCCAACAUAGUACUGUCAGGAAAGGCCUCAGAAGAGGUAGCAGUUGAGUAGAGAUUUGUCAGAAGUAUGUCAGCCCUACAAAUAUAUAAAGUAUAUUCCAUGCAGAGGGAUUUCAAGUGCAGAAAUCCUAAGGCAGGAAUGUGCCUGGUGUUCAAGACAAAGUAAGAAGGCCAUCUGUCUGAAUCACUUUCCAUGCGCCAUGAGCUAUGCUUGGCAAUGAUCCGUCAUGGGCAAGACAUAGAGCUCCAGUACUCACACAGCCUAGAGACCAGGCUAGCAGAUACUAAUUGAAUAAUAACAAAUAAUAGUGUGAGUAAAUAAAAAACUACAAAGGAAAUAGGUACUUAGAAGAAAAACUGUACAUAGAAAUGACAAAGUCAGAGGAUUUAUGGUAGAUCUCCCUGAGGUAGGUUAAAAUGGAUUUUGCAUCUUUCCACUGAAAUAUGAGAUCACAAUAGCACAGAAUACAGAGACAAGAUCUGCUUCAAAUAACUAUUUCUUUACCUAUAAUUAUAAAACUAUCUUUGUGUUAUAGACCAAAUUGUGUCCCCUCAAAAUUCAUACAUUAUGUUGAAGCCGUAGCCCCCAGUGCAACUGUAUGUAGAGACAGGGCCUUUAGAGGGAUAAUUAAGGUUGAACAAGGUGAUAAGGAUGAGACUUUAAUCUGACAGAAUUAGUAUUCCUAUAAGAAAAAGAAGACACCAGAGCUCUCUUCGUCUCCCAACACCCCUGCCUCCCGUGUGUGCACAGACAAAAGGCCAGGUAGGACACAGCAGAAAGGCUGCCAUAUAAAAGCCAGGAAGAGAGGCCUCACCAGAAAACAAACCUGCCAACACUUUCAUCUUGGACUUUCAGCCUACGGAACCGUGAGAAAAUAAAUUUCUGUUGUUUAAGCCAACCAGUCUGUAGUAUAUUGUUUUGACAAGCAGAGUAGACUAA
rnacentral:lncRNA from 1 species